rnacentral:lncRNA from 1 species
CUCUAUUUCCCUAUGUAUACUCAGCCAGUCAGAGACAACCACGGCUAAGGAAAUCUAUUCACAUUAUUUUUUUUCCAGUAAUGCUCCUGGUUGUUGUCUAGCUCUCAGCAAGGACCAGGUGCUUGCUGCAGAUUGACAACAAGCUGCUUCUUGGAGAAGGAGUGCUCUGGAAAUCUGCAGAUGAAAGGAAAAAGAAAAUGCCGGCAGAGACGGCGGCAGAGGCAGCGGCAGAAGCGGCAGCGCGAGCGGG